rnacentral:lncRNA from 1 species
CAGACCUAAAGAUGCUGCUCUGCUGAUUUAGAAGAAGACAGCAGGUGUCAAGAAAUGGAGCAGCAUCUGAAAACUGGAAAAGUCAAGGAACCAAUUCUGCCCUAAAGGCUCCAGAAGGAACACAGCAGUACUGACACCUAGCUUUCAGCCUAGUGAGAACCAUUUUUAACCUCUGACCUCCAGAAAUGUUUACAAUUUUGGAAUUCGAUGGAGUCUCGCUCUGACGCCCAGGCUGGAGGCAAUGGGACGAUCUCAGAUCACUGCAAACUCCCCCUCCCGAGUUCAAGCAAUUCUCUGUCUCAGCCUCCCAAGUAGCUGGGAUUACAGGCGCCCGCCACUACGCCCGGCUAAUUUUUUUGUAUUUUUAGUAGAGACGGGGUUUCACCAUCUUGGCCAGGCUGGUCUUAAACUCAUGAUCUCCUGAUCCACCUGCCUUGGCCUCCCAAAGUGCUGGGAUUACAGGCAUGAGCCACCGCGCCAGCCAACUACUUUUGAAGUCAGGCUUACGAAGAUAUAAUUUACAUUCAUUAAAACUCAUCCUUUUUAGUGUAGACAUCUGUGAGUUUGGACAAAGUCAUAUCAUUGUGUAACUAUCACGACAUUAAUGAUAUAAAACAAUUUAUAACCAAAAUUUCCCUCAUUUUCUGCUUUAGUCAGCCUCUUCCACACUCCCUGCCAAUGACACUUAACUUAUUUUCUGUCCCUGUAGUUCUGUCUUUUCCAGAAUAUCAUAUACAUAAAAUUAUUUGUCAUUUAAAUGAAUUAAAAGUAUGUAGCCUUUUGAUUAUGUGUUCUACUUACUGUAAUAAAUUUGAGAUUCAUCAACA